GCGCGCCCAGACACGCCCCUGCUCGCGCUGAGCGCAGCACGCCUACGCAGCAACAAGGCUGCAGGCAGUUGCGGAUUCCUAAUGAGAGGGACCGACAUAAAGACCAGUGGAGCCAAGGAACCUUUGCCAGAACAUCGCUCAUCUUCCCAUGUCUUCCCCAUCAUCUGUGAUCGUGUUUUGCCUCUCGACAUCCAUCCGGAUUUCUGACUGCCUUCCUCGAUCCGACCCCUGCUCGGACACGGACUACCCUGUCAGUCUCCUACCCUCGACUACUUGCCUGUUUACGGACUGCCUCUUCACCUUACCCCCUUGACUCGACGAAGGAUACAUCCAACACUCACAGACAACAACCUCUGACUGCAAAGAAGAAAGCUGUAGGUGGGAUCGGUGUAUUAGCGGCUGGCUACAACAACACAACCAGGAGGACUUUGAGUUGGAUAGCAGACGCGCUACCGGUGUCGUCGAAAGCUACAACGCUGUCCGCCGCCGCGCCGCUGUCCUCACCUGUCUGGGUUGACUUCCUCCGUCUCCGGGCCGCCGACCGCACCGAUCAUCGUGGUGAAGUCCUUCGUCGCGCCGUCGAUCGCUGGAACGCAGGUGAGCACGGGUGUUGGUGAGCAGAUGAGGGCUGGCGUAGGUGGAGAGCUAAUGUUUUUAGCAUAGCUCU